AUAAAUGAAUUGUUUACUUCUAACUAAAUGUAAGAAUACAUGUUAGAUAAAAAAAAAAGCAUAAGAGGAUGUAUUUAUACAUCUAUCUGAGUAGUUUAAUAUAAAAUUUGCAGCUAAAAAGGUUUAUUAAAUUUACCUCCAAGAAAACAGACAUGAAUCGAAACAUAUUAAUUGUGUUGCUCACUUUAUUUAUUGUGAUUCAAACAAUAAAUGGUCGUGCUCAUAAUGUCCCACAAUGUCCAUCACCAAACGUAAUAUCAGAUGCAAUUAAUGCUGAUAGAUGUACUUAUGAUUUUGAAUGUUAUGUACCAAAUGAGAAAAUAUGCUGUGAAAAUCGUAAUGGACGGAAAAUAUGUGUAUAUCCCAUAUAUUAAAUGUUAAAAAACUCUGUUUUAAAUUUAUUGGUACACUUUAAGAAUCUAAUAUUUUGUAAAA